rnacentral:rRNA from 1 species
CCUACGGGGGGCUGCAGUGGGGAAUAUUGCACAAUGGGCGCAAGCCUGAUGCAGCGACGCCGCGUGCGGGAUGACGGCCUUCGGGUUGUAAACCGCUUUCAGCAGGGAAGAAGCUUUUGUGACGGUACCUGCAGAAGAAGCGCCGGCUAACUACGUGCCAGCAGCCGCGGUAAUACGUAGGGCGCGAGCGUUAUCCGGAAUUAUUGGGCGUAAAGAGCUCGUAGGCGGUUUGUCGCGUCUGCUGUGAAAGCCCGGGGCUUAACUCCGGGUGUGCAGUGGGUACGGGCAGACUGGAGUGCAGUAGGGGAGACUGGAAUUCCUGGUGUAGCGGUGAAAUGCGCAGAUAUCAGGAGGAACACCGAUGGCGAAGGCAGGUCUCUGGGCUGUUACUGACGCUGAGGAGCGAAAGCAUGGGGAGCGAACAGGAUUAGAUACCCUGGUAGUCCAC